GAUGAACGCUGGCGGCGUGCCUAAUACAUGCCAGUCGAGCGAACGGACGAGAAGCUUGCUUCUCUGAUGUUAGCGGCGGACGGGUGAGUAACACGUGGAUAACCUACCUAUAAGACUGGGAUAACUUCGGGAAACCGGAGCUAAUACCGGAUAAUAUUUUGAACCGCAUGGUUCAAAAGUGAAAGACGGUCUUGCUGUCACUUAUAGCUGGAUCCGCGCUGCAUUAGCUAGUUGGUAAGGUAACGGCUUACCAAGGCAACGAUGCGUAGCCGACCUGAGAGGGUGAUCGGCCACACUGGAACUGAGACACGGUCCAGACUCCUACGGGAGGCAGCAGUAGGGAAUCUUCCGCAAUGGGCGAAAGCCUGACGGAGCAACGCCGCGUGAGUGAUGAAGGUCUUCGGAUCGUAAAACUCUGUUAUUAGGGAAGAACAUAUGUGUAAGUAACUGUGCACAUCUUGACGGUACCUAAUCAGAAAGCCACGGCUAACUACGUG
rnacentral:rRNA from 1 species